GUCCACGCCCUAAACGAUGUCUACUAGUUGUUGGGGAGUUAAAUCCCUUAGUAACGCAGCUAACGCGCGAAGUAGACCGCCUGGGGAGUACGGUCGCAAGAUUAAAACUCAAAGGAAUUGACGGGGCCCGCACAAGCGGUGGAUGAUGUGGUUUAAUUCGACGCAACGCGAAAACCUUACCUACCCUUGACAUGUGAGGAACUCUGCAGAGAUGCAGAGGUGCCCGAAAGGGAACCUCAACACAGGUGCUGCAUGGCUGUCGU
rnacentral:rRNA from 1 species